rnacentral:pre_miRNA from 1 species
AUCACUUAGGGAUCUUAUUAAAACUGCAGAUGUUGAUUCAGAAGAUCUAGCAUGGAACCCAAUAUCUGCAUUUCUAGUAAGUUCUCAGGUGACCCUAA